AAAACAAGCAUACAGAAGCACAGGACUCCACCCUGGCUUCCCGGUUCAGGCUGCACCCACUCCCAGCAGCUCUAGUGGAGGACUGUAGACACAAGCAGCGUGAACUUAAAUAACUCUUAAAAAGUCUAUGAAAAACAAAGAGAUCAGCAGAGAAACUGUAAUGAGGACCAUGUUGUGCUACUGACUUAUACUGAAGACAAAACAAAAGACAGCAAUACCAUCCUAAUGCUUUUUGGAGAAAAAAACUCACAAGAGACAGCAUAGAAGAAACUGUGACAUUUCUCUGAACUACUCACCUCUACUGAUGCUUUCACAUGGGUCCAAAGAGAAGAAUGUAAAAACAAUGUGAAGGCUAAGAGUGGUGAACUUUUUGGAAAGGAAGAUGACCCAAUCCACUGGUCAGUUACGGCUAGUUAGUGUUGUUAUAAGGACAUUAUGAGUUAUUUCCACCUGCAUUUGUUCCCCUCUCUUAACACUAUAGUUACCUUCCUAUAAGUGCUGUCCUUACUAGUUUUUCUUCUCUUCAAACCAUUUGGCUUGUGCUGCUCUUUGACAGGGCAUUCAGAAAGCCCUAGCACACCCCACACACAUUCAUAGUAAAGUAGAGAACAAGCAAAUGCUCCUGUCUUGAUUCAGUCUAUAAUAAUAAUGUAAUUAAAAGAUUUUCAGGAGAAAUGUUGUGUUACUUACUUUUAUUUCAUUUAUUUUCUGGAGAAUGUACUAUGGCCAGUGCUCCUCAAAUGAGCAACCACUGUGUGAAGGAAUCCCAUCAAAUAUGACUUUUUGUGCACACUCACCAUCUGCUUUCAGUCUGACUUUUUUUAAAAUUGGCAACUACUUAUUAUCAAACUAACAACAGGCCUUUAAAAUAAGCAAAUAAGAAUAAACAUAGGGGUAUUAUCUGUU